AAUAUGGAACGAUAAAAGCGGUUGGGACUGGCUGGUGAUUUAACGCAGAAGGGAAUACAGCGGAGUUAAAAGCAAAGGAAUAUAAGGAUGAUGGAAACAGGGACAAGAGUAAGAGCAAAUGCGACAGACUUUAAAGAAACGUUGGGGUGGUCGAAGGAAUUUAAGGAAAAUUCGGUUGAUUUAUGUAUUGUGCGAGGAUCUGUACGUGCAAAGAUUAAGCGUCAGUGCUUGAAGCAGCAGUUACGAAGGAAAUCUUCAGAGGCAAGGGCAUAACGAGCAGCUAACCAUCAGAGUACGCGGAACUUAGCGAAAUGAACGAGCAAGGGGAAAUUUUAUUUGUACAUGACUGCUUCAUUCGUUCAUUCAACUGAUAUUUUCUAAGCGGAUCAGAAAUAAAUUCAACUGCAUAAGCUAUUUACACAAAACACAAAAUCCAUGACAAGAUACAUUUUAGGAUACUAAAUGUAAUUUAAUAUUUCAUUCCUGUAACUCGAACGUCAAAUAGUUGAUUUUAAUCUGUUACUAGUUACCUUUUAC
rnacentral:misc_RNA from 1 species